AACGAACGCUGGCGGCGUGCCUAACACAUGCAAGUCGAACGGAGAUAAGAAGCUUGCUUCUUAUUUUAGUGGCGCACGGGUGAGUAACGUGUGGAUAAUCUACCUGAUGCUCUGGGAUAACAUCUCGAAAGGGGUGCUAAUACCGGAUAAGCCCACGAUCUCUUCGGAGAAUGCGGGAAAAGGAGGGGACCUUCGGGCCUUCCGACUUCAGAUGAGUCUGCGUCCCAUUAGCUAGUUGGCGGGGUAAUGGCCCACCAAGGCUACGAUGGGUAGCUGGUCUGAGAGGAUGAUCAGCCACACUGGAACUGAGACACGGUCCAGACUCCUACGGGAGGCAGCAGUGGGGAGUUUUGCGCAAUGGGGGAAACCCUGACGCAGCAACGCCGCGUGAGUGAUGAAGGCUUUCGGGUCGUAAAGCUCUGUCAGAAGGGAAGAAAUGUAGGUGGCUAAUAUCCAUUCUACUUGACGGUACCUUCAAAGGAAGCACCGGCUAACUCCGUGCCAGCCGCCGCAGUAA
rnacentral:rRNA from 1 species